UACGUAGGGGGCGAGCGUUGUCCGGAUUUACUGGGCGUAAAGAGCGUGUAGGCGGCCACGCAGGUCCGUUGUGAAAACUGGAGGCUCAACCUCCAGCUGUCGACGGAAACCGUAUGGCUAGAGUCCGGAAGAGGAGAGUGGAAUUCCGUGGUGUAGCGGUGAAAUGCGCAGAUAUCAGGAGGAACACCGGUGGCGAAGGCGGGAUCCUGGGCCAGUACGUGACGCUGAGGAGCGAAAGCGUGGGGAGCGAACAGGA
rnacentral:rRNA from 1 species